CACUGUCCUCACUCACCUGAGGAGGUAUAGGAACCCAGUGUGCCCCGAGAGCGAGGUGGUGGAUAAGGAGGAUCUGAAGAGAGUGGGAAUUCUGAAGACAUCCAGAAGAAGAUGACUCACAGAGAUACUGCUAACAAACUGCAGACGACUCUGGCCUAUCUGUGUAAUCUAAAUCUCAAAUCCAGCCUGAGAGUGAUGUCUGAAAGAACUAAUGAAGGAACCUCAGAGCCUAGAAGCUCAGCACUUCUGAAUGAGAUCUACACAGGGUUCCACAUCACAGGAGGUUGGAGUGGAGAUGCCAAUAACGAACAGGUUGAGAUCAGCAUCAGGGGGACCAGCAACACAGCAGACACCCAUCAACUGCAAUGACCUCUUUAAAGACAAGUCCAUCAAAAGAGUGCUGACUAAAGGAGUUGCUGGAAUUGGAAAAACAGUCUGUCUGCAGAAGUUCGUUCUGGACUGGGCUGAAGGAAAAACAUAUCAGGAUGUCCUCUUCACCUUAGAGAGCUGAAUUUGAAGUUCAUUCCACCACCUCGGUGCCAGAACAGAGAAGAGACUUAAGUCUUGAGACCUAACUCUUACCCUGAGAGAUGACGGACCAGUGGAGCAGUGCUGGUAGAUUUGAGGGAGCGAGGUGCAGUGUGAGGAGUAAUAAGAGUUUUGAGGUAAGAUGGAGCUGGUCCAUUCUUGGAUUUGUACGCAAGCAUCAGUGCUUAGAAUCUGAUGCAGUUACAGAAGGCAGUGGAGGAACAAGGCAGUAGGGUAGUGUUGGAGAACUUUUGGAAACAAGAUGAAUUCUCCACUGAUGGCGCAGAUGGAAAACUAAAAAUCCAGAUAUUUCAGUAUAUCAUCAUUUCUUUUCCAGUCUGUGGAAAUGCGGUCUCACAGAAGAAAGCUGUAGAGCUCUGUCCUCAGCUCUCAGCUCAAACUAGUCCAGUCUGAGAGAGCUGGAACUGGGUGAGAAUAAACUGCAGGACUCAGGAGUCAAGCUGCUUUGUGCUGGACUGGAGAAUCCACACUGUAAACUGGAGACACUGGGGUUGUCUAACUGUGGUGUUACAGAUGAAGGCUUUGCUGAUCUAGCUUCAGCUCUCAGGUCCAAUCCCUCAUCACGCCUGAGAGAGCUGGACCUGAAAGACAAUGAAUCAGGAGAUUCAGGAGUGAAGCUGCUCACUGAUCUUCAGAACGAUCCACAAUAUAAACUGGAGACGCUACACUUUGAGACAUCGUACCCUACCAGGAGUCUCGCCUUGAUCCUGUAUUCUUGGAUGCUUUAAACUCUUCCUGUGUUUCCACAAUAUUUUCAUAACCUGGUGUGGAAUUUUAAUAUACUUUUGUGCCACAUCUGAUUGCCAGAGGAUUGUUCUGAAGUCUGGUUCCUCUGAAGAUUUCUUCCUCAAGUCAGCUCAGAUAGUUUAUCCUUGCUAACGUCGUCUCUGGUUCUCUCAACAGGAAUAAACUGAUACUGAUUUGUAUUGAAUGUAUAAUAUUUCCAUAAAGCUGCUCUGUGACAAGGUUUAUUGUACAAACUGAACUGAAAAUGAGUGGCAGCUGUGACUAAACACACAACGGUGCAGGGGUUUGGGGUGUGUUCUGUGUACUGAUCAGGAUCAGGAUCAGUCACUUCCUGGGGCACUUCGGAGUAGCUCAAAUGGUUAAGGCUCUUGGUUGUUGCUUGGAGUAUCAGGCUUCAAGCCCCAGUACUUCCAAGCUGCCACUGUUGGUCACUUGUGCAAGGCUCUUAACCUUCUCUGUUCCAGGGGUGUGACAUCAUAGCUGCCCCUGCACUCUGACCCCAACUUCCUCAGUGAAGAAAAGAAUUCCGCUGUGCUGUAAUGUUAAAUGAACAGUGCAGUUAAAUGAACAAGUCAAUCUGAACAAGGACAUGUGUCCUGCAUGAUGUGAGGACUGGAGCCCCCUGUUGGCCACUGCUGGAUGUGUCAUUCACAAAAAAGAGUUAGAUAACGUAUUUAUUUUAAAUUAUCAAGGUUACUUUAAUCAAAUUCACACUUUUGAAUCUUCUAAAUUGAUGUAUAUAAACCGGCUUUGUGAUCCCAUGUCCAUGAUGUUUUGAAGAAGUCCCCACAAACCCAGUGUCCCUCUAAUGUCAUGUUUCCAUCAGGUGUGUUUGGUACUUUACUACUAACUUAACACAUAUAAUUAAAAUACCACAUACCUGCAGGUUACAACUAGUAUUACCCUGUUAGUACAAUGUUCUACAUUCCAGAAUGAAUUUUUUUAUUCCAAGCACAGUGUCAAAAUAAUGAUCAGGUUCACAUGAAGCAAAAAGGCGUCCUUGUUUUCUGAAAGCUACACCAGAGCUGGAUGUAGUGGUGAAGUGAUGGUAUGUGAUCUUGGGAUAGUUUCAAGGUCAGCUAAUAGGAGAAGGGGAUUUGGGGCCUUGGGUUUGAGCCGCCGCUCUGCAAUUGGUUUCGGUUGAAGCUGUGAAACUGAGACGCUCCCCUUAGACGGGGAUUUAAGAGAUUAUCUCAGAGCAACAAAUGGACAGGGACAGCGUCCACAGCACACAGAUACAGAUACAGUGUGUUUCUGUCAUGUUUUGCUCUCCUCAUCGUUACCAAUAAUUAAAGCAUUGUUGUGUUCUGUACAGUUUGGUGAGAAACACCACUCCGGUAUUGAUCCAAUGCUCUAAAGGUCAGGUUCUCCGUGUUCCCAUCGCAUGCCACGCUGGGACGCGCUCCUCGGAUUUGGAUUUGCGCAAUCUCUGCUUAUAUUUAGACCCCAAUAAUGACCGCUGGACCUAUAAAGGUCCAGCUGGAUGAUAUAUUUCUAUCAAUAACAUCACACCUGGAUUUGAUUCUGUGAUAUCUGUGUACACUCUGGUUAAGACACCUGUCAUCAUGCAGGAAAGAAAGAGGACCAGAGGAAAUGUGAAACUCAUAACAACACGCUCCAACCUUUAUGGCUGAAUGCACCGCAUUCAGUUCUCAUUUCCAUGGUCUUCAGCACGCGGCUAUUUUUAAUGUGGCGAGAGACCGAUAAUGGUGUCCUGCUUUCUUAAAUUGUUUGACGCAUGCUUCAGGAUGCCACUGGUCCCAAACAGAAUGAUACAACACUACAGUUACCCUCUGUUACUGAUAAAUAUUAGGUUGUCGCUCCAAACACUCCAAGAGAACGGGGUAUUAGAUCGUAUUCAGAGAAAUAAGCCAUUUUUAUGAACCUGGUUGGAGGAUGGAAAUGUGUGCUGAGUGAGGAUCUAUCAGUUUGGAAACCUUCUCUGACCUUUCCUGAUCUCUAAACUCUCUCACACAGGUCUAGAUCAUGUAACCCUGGACUACUGAUGAAAUACGGAACAUUAUUGAGCAGAGAUACGCCGCCUGCCGCUCAUGCUAAUGAAAUCUUCACUGAUGACAAGAAUCCAUGGCUCGGUGUACUUCUACUUAAUGUGCUAUAAUUCUAUAGACACAAAAAACCCAACACAUACAAAGUGAAGUGAAUAUAUUACAGAAAGCAUCAUGAAUUUAUUCAAAAUGUAGCGUGAAAUGAUCUGAUAAUUAUGUAAAAACUAUUUAAAAACGAUUUAGCCAAUUUUAGAAUCUAAAUGUUUAAAGUAAAAUAAACGAAUCUUCAGUUCAAUCAGAUAAUUUUCACUUAAUUUAACUUAAAAUAAUUUCUCUUUUUUACCAUUUAAUAUUUCAGUAUUGUCAUUUCCACCCUUGUUCCCAUUACAUAAAUCCAUUUUCUAUGAAUAUGCAAAUCGGAAACGUUCGGCUCCGC